UACGUAGGGUGCGAGCGUUAAUCGGAAUUACUGGGCGUAAAGCGUGCGCAGGCGGUUUUGUAAGUCAGAUGUGAAAUCCCCGGGCUCAACCUGGGAACUGCAUUUGAGACUGCAAGGCUAGAGUGUGGCAGAGGGGGGUGGAAUUCCACGUGUAGCAGUGAAAUGCGUAGAGAUGUGGAGGAACACCGAUGGCGAAGGCAACCCCCUGGGCCAAUACUGACGCUCAUGCACGAAAGCGUGGGGAGCAAACAGU
rnacentral:rRNA from 1 species